AGGGCACCACCAGGAGUGGAGCCUGCGGCUUAAUUUGACUCAACACGGGGAAACUCACCCGGCCCGGACACCGUAAGGAUUGACAGAUUGAUAGCUUUUUCAUGAUUCGGCGGAUGGUGGUGCAUGGCCGUUCUUAGUUCGUGGAGCGAUUUGUCUGGUUUAUUCCGAUAACGAGCGAGACUCUAGCCUACUAAAUAGUUCGCACAUUGUCUCUGUGUGUGUGACUUCUUAGAGGGAUUUUCGGUGUUCAGCCGCACGAAAUUGAGCAAUAACAGGUCUGUGAUGCCCUUAGGUGUCCGGGGCUGCACGCGCGCUACACUGGCAAAAUCAGCGUGCUUGUCCUUCCCCGAAAGGGGUUGGUAAACCCUUGAAAAUUUGCCGUGAUUGGGAUUGGAAAUUGCAAUUAUUUUCCAUGAACGAGGAAUUCCAAGUAAGUGCGAGUCAUCAGCUCGCGUUGAUUACGUCCCUGCCCUUUGUACACACCGCCCGUCGCUGCCCGGGACUGAGCCAUUUCGAGAA
rnacentral:rRNA from 1 species